rnacentral:rRNA from 1 species
UACAGAGGUCUCGAGCGUUAGGCGGAAUCACUGGCUCUAAAGCGUGUGUAGGUGGAUGCCUAAGUACCUUGUGAAAUCCCACGGCUUAACCGUGGAACUGCUUGGUAUACUGGGUGUCUUGAGUCACUCAGGGGCGAGCGGAACAAAUGGUGGAGCGGUGAAAUGCGUAGAUAUCAUUUGGAACGCCAAUGGUGAAACAGCUCGCUGGGGUGCGACUGACACUGAGACACGAAGCCAGGGAGCG